AAUUCUGGUAAUAGGUUGCUUGAUUGAAUGGCUCGGAUGCAAUCUACGACAAGAAUUGCUUGAAACUUAUAAAUUGUAAAGAUGAUGCUCAAAU